GGGGCGGGGCCACGGGGGCCUUACGGGAGGCACCAGUGGGGAAUUUUGGACAAUGGGCGGAAGCCUAUUCCACCCAUGCCGCGUGUGUGAAGAAGCCCUUAGGGUUGUAAAGCACUUUCAGGGGUGAGGAAGGGUAACUGGUUUAAUAUCCAGUUAUCUUGACGUUACCCCCAGAAGAAGCCCCGGCUAAUUCUGUGCCAGCAGCCGCGGUAAUACAGAGGGUGCAAGCGUUAUUCGGAAUUACUGGGCGUAAAGCGCGCGUAGGUGGUUUGUUAAGUCGGAUGUGAAAUCCCAGGGUUCACCCUGGGAAUGGCACCCGAUACUGGCUAGCUAGAGUAUGGUAGAGGGGUGUGGAAUUUCCUGUGUAGCGGUGAAAUGCGUAGAUAUAGGAAGGAACAUCAGUGGCGAAGGCGACACCCUGGACUAAUACUGACAUUGAGGUGCGAAAGGCGUGGGGAGCAACCAGGAUUAGAUACCCCUGGUAGUCCACCCCCGUAAACGAUGUCUACUAGCCGUUGGGUUGUAAUGACCUUAGUGGCGCAGCUAACGCAAUAAGUAGACCCGCCUGGAGACGCA
rnacentral:rRNA from 1 species